AAAAAUAGAAGGCUGACUUCGAGUUUCUCCGCGUACUUGCAUAGUGAUAGGGGCUACACUGGUCAAUAGAUUAGUCUAUUAAUAUUAUGAACUGGAAAGCGUAAUACUUUCUGGGAGUACGUGUUUCUCACUUCGAAGUCAUGCUCUGGGUAUAUAUAAUUCAAACCCACAGCUUUCUAGACUUCAGCAAAUAAUUUCGUAAUAUAAGACACCUAAAAUACUCAUUUGCUGGACUCCUACUAGGAGUCUUAAGUUAUAUUCAGAAAGUCAAUAUUUACCUAACGCACUAAUGACUUUUCCCAUUCUCAGAUUCAACUCUGGGCUGCAGUGUGGUGCAAUCUUGAGCUUGAUAAAAAUCACUGCUGUCACUGGAAACAACGCAUUUCUAUAGAAUGCCGUCACCUCUUAAUCUGAUUUCACUAAUUGUUGGAAGUCACGGUAUUCUCACUGAGUCAUAAAGCGUGCAGACGUAACAAAAUAAAAUAAAAUUCUUCUGGGUAGGAUGUAGCUCAAUAGUACAGCACUUACCUACCAUGCACGGGGCCCUGGGUGCAACCUUAGCUCCACCAACCAAGCAAACAAAGUGUACUUUAACUCAGGGUCCUCCCGAAGGCUCACCUGUUCAAUCUACUUUGCAACCCCAGACAACUCGACGCACAAAACAGAAGCUACGGCCCUCUCCUACUGAGCAAAGUAACACUAAAAAGUUCCUGCAAGUCUCAAAGGAGGAGGGCAUCUCUCUAAAGGAGCAGCAGCACAGUGUAAAUUCCAGGUUAUCCUUACCAGAAAGAGGGGACAUCUUUGGAAAAGAUAUGUUAAUAUACUCAAAAUUACAUUCGUAUUUACAGGAAGCAUGAAGUAACAGAAAAGAGCUAAGCAGCUAAUAUGUGAGAUUAAUGUUUAAAAUUCUAUUUUACUUUCAACGCAUCUGUUAUUCCCUAGCAGGAAUUGCCAGGCCCUCACAGUGAAAAUCUGAGUUCUGAUAGACACAGGAAUAUUGUAAAUGCAAACACUCACAGAGAUUGUUUUCUGUUUGCUUUAUGAAGUAAUUAGAAAUAUAAAUGUUUCCUUAACAGAGUUUAUAGCCUAUGAUCAGUAAGUUAUACAAAUACAUGUUUUUUCCAAAAAAUUAAAUUUUACAUAUAUAUUCACAUUAAUGAAAUCUACCAUGACAUGCAUUUUUGCUUAUGGGUAAAACUAAAAUGCAAUAACAAUCACUGUCCCUUAAUGAGCCAGAACUGAUUUUAUGGCUACAAUUAAUUUGAAUAUUAUUUAUUUAAUAAUUGUUGUAUUAAAAAACAAAGGAAAAAGUAAGAUGUUUUAGAGUCUAUAAGGGUAAAUAAAAAAUAAAAGAGCUGCUAUAGACCAUGACUAUCAGAGGGAGUAUAAUGUGCGGUCAGACAAGUGGAAACCAGAUGAAAUGGGUGGAUUCACAGGGGCCCCUUUUAGAGGGUUUGAAGGUGAGUUCAUGAAAAUGAUUCUUCAAACAUUAGGUACUGAGUGCUAAUAGUGACUCCUUGUGGUGCAGAGCUCUAUUAUCAAAGUUGUGGCUAAAACAGGAAGUUUCAAAAAGUUACAGUUUUGGAAAACAGAGGUUUAGAUUUUAGAUGUAAUACAAAGAUAUAAAAAGACAGUAUUCUAGGGAUACAAGGGAUUUCCCAUCAUCUAGUCUCCAGAGUGUCUUUUAUGAGUAGGAUUUGGGCCUCAGCUGAGUAAAUGGCUUGUGAAGUCACAAUGUGAGUUCAAGGCAGAGGCAAGACUGGAACCCAAAUUUGCUAACAUACAGAGCUGGACCUUCUUCUUUUGAAUAGACUGUAAAACACUUUAGAUUCACAGAACUCUUUCUAUGGGAAUUGCUUACAGAAGAAUCCAAGCUAUAAUGCAGAGAACCACUUGCUUCGGUCAAAUAGGAAAGGAGAGUUCAAAGAGUAUGGGGGCCUUGACACUUGACGGAGAAGUACAACCCUCAACCACUGUGUCUUCCAGGGACCCUCAGAGGACUCCAAGAGCCCCUAAUGCAAUUGAAAACUUCAGAAAUAUCAAAUCAUUUCUGUGCCUUCUAACCAAAUGAAGCAUAAGACGGAAUACUUUAAGUAACAACAAUUUCUGAAAAGAAUAAAGCCUUUGAGAAAAAGUUUUAACAAUAAAGUAGUUAUGUCUUCUUGUGAAAAAGAUAAUGUG
ensembl:lincRNA